CACGUAGGGGCCAAGCGUUGUCCGGAUUUAUUGGGCGUAAAGAGCUCGUAGGCGGCUCGGUAAGUCAGGUGUGAAACCUCCAGGCUCAACCUGGAGACGCCACCUGAUACUGCUGUGGCUAGAGUCCGGUAGGGGAGCGUGGAAUUCCUGGUGUAGCGGUGAAAUGCGCAGAUAUCAGGAGGAACACCAAUGGCGAAGGCAGAUCUCUGGGCCGUAACUGACGCUGAGGAGCGAAAGCAUGGGGAGCGAACAGG
rnacentral:rRNA from 1 species